rnacentral:pre_miRNA from 14 species
CCCUUAGUCAUCAGGGAAAUACAGAUCAAAACAACCCUGAGAUUCCACCUCAUACUGAAAGAUUCCUGAAGAGAGACCCUUACUCAAGUCUCAGGAAGUCGCAGACCCCAGACACAGAGAGACCA